rfam:Stegodyphus mimosarum contig14115, whole genome shotgun sequence.
GCCUUCGUGGUGUAACGGUAGCACACUCGGCGCUUAUUCGAGAGGUUCAGGUUCGAUUCCCAUCGAGAGCA